rnacentral:rRNA from 1 species
AUUGAACGCUGGCGGCAUGCCUUACACAUGCAAGUCGAACGGCAGCACGGGGGCAACCCUGGUGGCGAGUGGCGAACGGGUGAGUAAUGCAUCGGAACGUGCCCAGUAGUGGGGGAUAACCAGUCGAAAGACUGGCUAAUACCGCAUACGACCUACGGGUGAAAGCGGGGGACCGCAAGGCCUCGCGCUAUUGGAGCGGCCGAUGUCUGAUUAGCUAGUUGGCGGGGUAAGAGCCCACCAAGGCGACGAUCAGUAGCUGGUCUGAGAGGACGACCAGCCACACUGGGACUGAGAAACGGCCCAGGCUCCUACGGGAGGCAGCAGUGGGGAAUUUUGGACAAUGGGCGCAAGCCUGAUCCAGCCAUGCCGCGUGCGGGAAGAAGGCCUUCGGGUUGUAAACCGCUUUUGGCAGGAACGAAACGGCGCGAGCCAAUACCUCGCGCUAAUGACGGUACCUGCAGAAUAAGCACCGGCUAACUACGUGCCAGCAGCCGCCGUAAUAC